GCUCGGCAAAAUAUCUCGCGAGCUUCCCUUUCUGUAUUCAAUCUCCAUCGAUCUACUAUAGCCGCCGCCUCCUCCUCGAUCCAUGUGGUCGCCCUUUGCCGCCGUCACCGGAGAGGCUCGCCUCCGCGGCCGCACGCCUUAGAUCCGGCGGGAGGAAAAGGAGGAAGAGCCCCGCACUGUCCUGUUCUUCGGCGGCGGCGAUCUACGCGCGAGCGAUGGGGAGGCGAGGAGGAGAAAGAGGCGAGGUGGUGGAGGAGGAGCCGAGGUCGACGACGGCGUCCUUGGCCGAGCACACGCACGGAAGGGGGGAGGGAGGGGUGCAGCCGCUCAUGCGGAUCGAGGGGAAGGAGAAAGGUGCUGAUGCUGCUGGCUACUUGGGGAAGGGGAUGCGAGCGACCUUGGGCGAGUUAAGAGACCUGAGGCGAGGCCGGCGGCGACCUAUGGAAGUAAGGGGACGCCGACAACCUUGGGAAGGAAGGGGAAGUAGGCGACCUUGGGAAGGAGGGAGAGGCCGGUGAAUUGGGGUAGGGGAUGCGGGUGACCUGGGGAAGGGCGGAUGUGAGCUGCUCAGCCCGUCGUUGCUGUCGGCAGCCGGCGGCCACCGCCCGUCGCUUGGAGGACGAGGGGAACGGAGAAAGAGGAGUCGUAUCGGGAAGGAGUUUUGGGCGAUGGGACGAGGGGAACAGCAGCCGCACCAGGCGACAUGCCUCGCCGUGCCGCUUGGUGGCCAAGAUGAGGCCGCCCCAUGCUCUGUUCCGAUGGGCCUCCUCUGCUCGAUGGUUGCACUGGUUGAGUUUGGUACGGUUUCCUGUUGUCGGCUGCGUCGAGCCUUGGGUCUUGUCUCUCCUUCGCAUUGAGCCUACUUCUCCUGUCGCCAGCGCUUCUUCUUCUCGUCUGUCCUGCUGCUAACCCAACAUGCUUCUGCUUGCUGCCUCGGGUUGUACGAUCUCUUCUGUCGCAGCGUCGUUCGACUCAUCAAGGACAACAGUGAGAAGGGGCUCUUGAGGCGGCUGCACUCGGCCCCCCCUGCAGCCACGCACCACAUCGUCCGGCCGUGUUGGUGAAAUUUGCAGAACUGACGGCUUCGCAGUAAGACUAUGGACAUCUGCUAGGUUUUGGUAAUGGUGAGGACAGGUGCUGCCGAAGAUAAUUCGAGGUUUCUCGGAAAAUCCAGGGGACAAUGUCAUAGUGCUGACAUUGGGGACAAGUUUUGAUACUUCGGGAGAAGCCUAUGACUUUUACAACCUGUGCUUUUGGGAUAAGCGAUUCGGCAUUAGUAGGAAGACUGAAAGACAGUUAAUGGGAAAAUUAGUGGUGUGAUUGAAUAAGUAGUUUCAUGCUUCUGAUGUCUGAUGUAUGAUUAGAGCAUUUUCUCUUAUGGUGUACUGAAUUAUUAAAGAUUGUGUGUGAACUGUUAAGAUGCAAUUUUUCUAUGUAUGUGUGGAUCCACGGCGGUCCAGACUGUACUACUGUAGUAGUUUAUACUUUCUGAAUGCAACGUAGCAUGAUAAAUAUAUUGUGUUUGACAAA